rnacentral:misc_RNA from 1 species
UUCCCUUCAACUACUGAAUUUUUUCCAUGAGACAUGAUUCAGAGAACUGGUUAAAAGAAAUAGUAGGCAAAACAAAUACCCAAAAAAAUAAAAUUGCAAACCAAGAAAUAGGAAUGGGUUGGGUAGAGGCGCGGUACACUAGGGAUGUAGUCGGAAAAAUGUGCGGCUGGAAAAACUGACCAAGAACAGGUGACGAGGUGCUCUUCCUUCCAAGAGGGGCGGUGACAACUACCUCUCUCGACAGACCCGCUUUCAAGGCUUACCUACUCAAACCCUAACUAUUUCUCACUGUAAAAAAAAAAAUUGCCAGAUAAAA